rnacentral:tRNA from 1 species
GUUUUAGUGGUGUAUUUUAACAUAUUAUAUUUUCACUAUAAAGCUGGGAAAUUUUUUCCUCUAAAAUU